rnacentral:rRNA from 1 species
AGCUCCAAUAGCGUAUAUUAAAGUUGCUGCAGUUAAAAAGCUCGUAGUUGGAUUUGUGGAGCGGCCAUCCGGCGCGGCGCCAGCUCUUCGUAGCGGGUGUUCGCUAGUCCCGGCUUCGCGGCCGCUCCUUUCUCGGGAAGCGAGUGGCUGGCAUUAGGUUGUCGGCCGCUUCGCGCCCGUCUUUUCUUGUGGUUUGCCCACACGCCGCAAUGAUUAAAAGGAACGGUUGGGGGUAUUCGUAUUCAACUGUCAGAGGUGAAAUUCUUGGAUUUGUGGAAGACGAACUACUGCGAAAGCAUUUACCAAGGAUGUUUUCA